rnacentral:rRNA from 1 species
AGUGAACGCUGGCGGUAUGCCUAACACAUGCAAGUCGAACGGAAGCACAGUAAGCGCUUGCUCUUACGGGUGGCGAGUGGCGGACGGGUGAGGAGUGCAUAGGAUUCUACUUUUUCGUGGAGGAUAACGUAGGGCAACUUACACUAAUACAGCAUACGAUCUACGGGUGAAAGCAGGAGAUCUUCGGACCUUGCGCGAUUGAAUUAGCCGAUGUCGGAUUAGCUUGUUGGCGGGGUAAAGGCCCACCAAGGCGACGAUCCGUAGCUGGUCUGAGAGGAUGAUCCGACACAAUGGAACUGAGAAACGGUCCAGACUCCUAAGGGAGGCAGCAGUAGGGAAUAUUUGGCAAUGGGCGGAAGCCUGAUCCAGCCAUACCGCGUGGGUGAAGAAGGCCUUCGGGUUGUAAAGCCCUUUUGUUAGGAAAGAAAAACAGCAUGUUUAAACCCCCCCGUCCUGACGGUACCCAAAGAAAAAGCCACGGCUAACUUCGUG